CAAUAGCGUAUAUUAAAGUUGUUGCGGUAAAAAAGCUCGUAGUUGGAUUUCUACCGAAGAUAGCCGGUCGGGUCUUCGACCUUGUAUCUGGUUUUGUCUUUGGUAUCCUCAUAGGGAACGUUUCUGCGCUUUAUUGCGUGGUGCGGUAUCUAUGACUUUUACUUUGAGGAAAUUAGAGUGUUCACGGCAGGCAAACGCCUUGAAUAUAUUAGCAUGGAAUAAUAACAUAGGAUCUUCGUCCUAUUUUGUUGGUUUCUAGGGCUAAGAUAAUGAUUAAUAGGGAUAAUUGGGGGCAUCUGUAUCAACGCGUCAGAGGUGGAAUUCUUGGAUUGCGUUGCGACAAACUACUGCGAAAGCGUCUGCCAAGGAUGUUUUCAUUGA
rnacentral:rRNA from 1 species